rnacentral:ncRNA from 1 species
UUUCUGGAGAGUUUGAUCCUGGCUCAGAACGAACGCUGGCGGCGUGGGUUAGGCAUGCAAGUCGAACGACUCAAAGUUUUGUCGCAAGACAAAAUUUUGGGUAGUGGCAAAAGGGUGAGUAACACGUGAGUAAUCUACCCAAAGGAUUGGGAUAACCCGUCGAAAGAUGGGCUAAUACCGGAUAAGACCACGUCCCUCAUGGGAUGGGGUUAAAGAUGGGGACCGUAAGGCCUGUCACCUUUGGAUGAGCUCGCGGUCUAUCAGCUUGUUGGUGGGGUAAUGGCCUACCAAGGCAAUGACGGAUAGCUGGUCUGAGAGGAUGGUCAGCCACAUCGGGACUGAGACACUGCCCGGACUCCUACGGGAGGCUGCAGUCGAGAAUCUUUCGCAAUGGGGGAAACCCUGACGAAGCGACGCCGCGUGCAGGAUGAAGGCCUUCGGGUUGUAAACUGCUGUCACUUGGGAUGAAUGAUGUUUGGGCGAAUAGCUCAAGCACUUGACAGUACCAAGAGAGGAAGCCACGGCUAACUCUGUGCCAGCAGCCGCGGUAAUACAGAGGUGGCUAGCGUUGUUCGGAUUCAUUGGGUGUAAAGGGUGCGUAGGCGGUUUGGAAAGUCAAAUGUGAAAUCCUAGAGCUCAACUUUAGAACUGCAUUUGAAACUUCCAGACUCGAGGACGAGAGAGGUGAAGGGAAUUCCCGGUGUAAGGGUGAAAUCUGCAGAGAUCGGGAGGAACACCAGCUGCGAAGGCGCUUCACUGGCUCGUAUCUGACGCUGAGUGCACGAAGGCGUGGGGAGCAAACGGGAUUAGAUACCCCGGUAGUCACGCAGUAAACGAUGUUCACUAGGUGUUGGCCCCAUUUUGGGGUCGGUGCCGCAGCUAACGCAUUAAGUGAACCACCUGGGGAGUACAGUCGCAAGGCUGAAACUCAAAGGAAUUGACGGGGACCCGCACA